GCGGGCGUGGCGGAAUGGUAGACGCACGGCACUUAAAAUGCCCCGGGCUUGCCCAUGCGGGUUCGAGUCCCGCCGCCCGCA
rnacentral:tRNA from 1 species